GAGUUUGAUCCUGGCUCAGGAUGAACGCUAGCGGGAGGCUUAACACAUGCAAGUCGAGGGGCAGCAUUUACUUCGGUAAGAUGGCGACCGGCGCACGGGUGCGUAACGCGUAUGCAACCUGCCUUGUACAGAGGGAUAGCCCAUGGAAACGUGGAUUAAUACCUCAUAGUAUUACAGAAUCGCAUGGUUUUGUAAUUAAAGAUUCAUCGGUACAAGAUGGGCAUGCGUAUGAUUAGCUAGUUGGUGAGGUAACAGCUCACCAAGGCAACGAUCAUUAGGGGUUCUGAGAGGAUUAUCCCCCACACUGGUACUGAGACACGGACCAGACUCCUACGGGAGGCAGCAGUGAGGAAUAUUGGUCAAUGGGCGCAAGCCUGAACCAGCCAUCCCGCGUGCAGGAUGACGGCCCUAUGGGUUGUAAACUGCUUUUCUAUACCAAGAAAUAUAGCUACGUGUAGUUAUUUGCCGGUAGUACAGGAAUAAGCCACGGCUAACUCCGUGCCAGCAGCCGCGGUAACACGGGGGUGGCAAGCGUUGUCCGGAAUUACUAGGCGUAAAGGGCAGGUAGGCGGAUAUUCAAGUCAGGCGUUAAAGGCAUCGGCUCAACCGGUGUACGGCGUUUGAAACUGGAUAUCUAGAGUCAGGUAGAGGUAGAUGGAAUUCCUAGUGUA
rnacentral:rRNA from 1 species